AUCAUCCAACGAAGCGGCGGAAAGAAUAUAAAACGAAAAACUUCGGUUCAUUUUUCACGAUCCUUUCUGAUUUUGCUUUGAUUCUUUGCUAAAAAACAAAUUGGGAAAGUUCUAUUUUUCAACGCAGCGCUUCAAAAAUAUAUACGCACAAAGGCAAUACAAAUAUUAAGUGUUGUGAUUUUACUUAUCAUAUAAAAUAAAGCAAUUGACGCAUAAAUAAGUUCAUAAAUAAAAAGAAAUUUAAAAGAAAAUAUGGAGACCCCAAAUGAAUUUCCUGUACCAUCUGGAUCCAGUGGAACUGCUUCCAAUGAUUUUCCUGUUUUACCCCCGCCUCCGAAUUCUGCUACUCCCAGCAAUAAUAAUCAAGCACAAAAGCGUCUACAACAAACUCAGGCAAAAGUCGAUGAAGUCGUCGGUAUUAUGCGCGUCAAUGUAGAGAAGGUGCUGGAACGUGAUCAAAAAUUAUCGGAAUUGGGCGAAAGAGCUGAUGCUCUAGAAGCUGGUGCCUCACAAUUCGAACAACAAGCUGGCAAAUUGAAACGUAAACAAUGGUGGGCAAAUAUGAAAAUGAUGAUCAUUAUGGGUGUAAUCGGUGUGAUUCUCUUAAUUAUCAUUAUCGUUAUGCUCUUUUAUUAACUGGUAACCACUUACCAUUUGAAGUCUAAUGAUCAGCAUUUUAAGUAUAUUCACUAUACAUAUAUGUAUGUACUUUCUAAGUUUGUUUGUUUGUGUGUGUGUAAUGUUUAUAGUUUCAAAUAACUUAAAAUUUCCAAAAAAAAGAAAAAAAAAUGCUAAAUAUUAUUUAAGUAAGUCCAAAGUAAAUAUUUGCGCCAGCACAACAUAUCCGCAAGCCAUUCCGUUCAAAAGAAUUUCCUUCCUGCCAUCCAGCAGCACUGAUACACACAAUCAAGUCGAAAACACUAAAGCCCCGUAAACAGUUCAGAUGACGACAGCGGCCUUACAACGGUUCCUUGCUGUGUUGAUUGCACGCAUUUAAAGUGAAUCUUGUUUUUUUUUUACAGAAAUAUAUGCACAAAAUGCCAGCAAACAAUAAACGAUAUGCAUUGAAUCGAAUUUUUCAAAAUUUAAAAAAAAAAGAAAACAA